rnacentral:lncRNA from 1 species
GAAUCAGAACAACUGGAUGAAAGAUGAUGGCGUUUCGUUCAGUCUCAUAUCAUGUAAAUGUUUCUGAUCUGCCAAACGUCAAAGAAAGAUGAGGAAAAGAAUUUUCGCUAUGACGUUUGCCUGAAGAGGAAGCUUCACCAAAGUUUCAAGGAACAGAAGACUGCUCUAACCAAUUCUGGACAGUCAAGUGGACACUACUGCUUAAUGAGGAAGAUGGCGGCUCAUGUUUUGUCUUUUGGAUUUGGAAAGAGACAUUUUAUUUGUGAUUUUGCUGUGAUUAUUUUAAUUCUAUUCGCUAAUGUGCAUUCGCUAAUGUGCUUAACAAUUGUAUGUGUCUUUUCAUACUUUACUGCAUUGUUGUUUUGAUGAAAUGCCUGUAUUUUAAAUUUAAAAAUGCUUAUUUGCCUUUUUAAAAUAAAAAUAAAAAAUUCGUGAUUGAACAAUACCGAGUUGCUCUUAUUGGAUGGAGAAUAUAAAUGAUGUUUCGCAAAAGAUUUACUUUGCGGUUUACGUCGAAGUUUAACACAGCUUGUCCGGGUUUAAGGUUUUAUUUUCUUAUUUAUUAAAAAAAUAAAUAAAUAAAUACAGGUCUACUACGUUAUUUACUUAAACUAUAAAUUAUUAACUGACAAGCUAGGUGAUAUUUUCAAACAUUAAAGGAUUUGUGUCAUUUUUUUUAACUGCUCUUAAUGGUUUAUUUUAUUUUGAUUUUAUUUAUUUUUUAAUUCAUAGGUUGCAUUAAAUAAUUAUGAUGAUUUCGCAAAUUAUUUUUGUUUAAUUUACUCCACCCAUUCAUUUCUUAUUGAAUUAAUCACAGGAGCCAUCCUGCAAGCUUUGGUGCAUGCAACUUUCCUCUUUCAAAUAUUACAUCUGCAAAGUAUAAUACAUAUACAGAGCAGGUGUAAAAGGGUUCAAAUUAAGUGGUCUAAAAUGGUGUCCAGUGUAGUCCAGCACUCACUGCAAAAUGGCAGUCUGUUGUCUCAUUUCCUGUCUAUGCAGGAAGUGAAGGCUUAAAGAAAUAAUUUUAUUAACAUAAAGAUCACUACUGUCCUUCGUAACCACUAAUCAGUUUUCCAACUACUACCCCUGUGGGGUAAAAUUAACUUGAGCACUGAAUUUAUCUUCAAAACUAGUUUUUAUUUGAAAUAAAAGGGGUGGGACUUUCGUGCAUCACCUGAGCCCUGGGUAAAUGGAGAGAACGUCAAUCAAAGGCUAAGCUCAGAGCUGGGAAGGAGCUUUAGAUGGCGGAUGAACCUUGGGAAGGGGAGAGCGCUGAGCCUCGCAGGGCUCUCGAUAGCACUUGUAUCUCAACUUUGGUGAACUUUGAGUGCCUCCCGGGGCACCGUAAACGCGCGAAAUCGUUCGUUUUAUUACGUUUCGGACUGUAGAGACGUUAACGCGCACGUUUUGCGACUUUGUUUCGUCGAAAACGGCUCUGGUGUGUGCGUAGAGUGGCCAGUCGUUGUUUUCCCUGCCUUGCACUGGCAGCCAUGGCGGUCCUCCAUUUUUAGUGCACUCUGCUGGGCUCUUCUCACACUCUCUCACUCUCUCUCUCCAUUCAAAUAGCCAUCGGUGGAUUACUGCAAUUAUUUUUAUUUCCGAAUAUUAUUCCGAUUGUUAUUUUCGUCUCAAUCCUGUAAUAUUUUUUUAUUUUUCUUCUUGUUAUGGCCAAAGUAACAAAUCGGAUAUUUUGUCAGAUGUGAAUGUACUGCUACAAUCCUCCUCCUGUCAAUGCAAUAGGUAUGUUUACAUAGUUUCUUUUUCAAUGUCGAUUUUAUUUGCUAUCACCGUUAUGUUUUAAUCGUCCUUUGUUUGAUGACGCAGUAAGAAUUUAUGCAUGUGGCUCUGAAUCGGUUGCCUUGAAAUGCCAUCGACACAUGGAUAUUUGACAUCGAAUAGAGUCGAGCAGGUGUCAUUUCAACUGCGAUGCCUUUUGAUUUAAGAGAUAAUAUAAAUAUUUAUUUAUUUUAAAUUAUACGACGCCAACUUGCCUUGUCCAUAUAGCGCAGCGGCAGGACUUUUUUUUUUUUUUUGAUGGUUCAUCCCACUUUAAACUUUUGACAGUAGUUACUUUUUUUUUUUUUUUUUGAUGGUUCAUCCCACUUUAAACUUUUGACAGUUAAUACCUGGACAAAAGACCAUCAUUAACAAAUCCCAAGACAAAAUCAUGAUGAAGAAUAAGAAUAAAAAGCAGGAAGAUGAAGGCUCGACUCAAAGCAAUGCUUCCAG